GGUUCCUAAUGUGAGAAGGUAGGCCCAGAUCAUGGAGGUGCUUCAGUGCGAUGGCUGUGACUUCAGAGCCCCGUCUUAUGAAGAUCUCAAGGCGCACAUUCAGGAUGUCCACACGGCAUUUCUGCAGCCAACUGAUGUUGCUGAAGACAAUGCUAACGAGCCACGAUCCGGGUCCAUGAAUGCCAGUAAUCAGACAGAGGUGGAGUAUUCCUCUAUAAAGGACGAAUUUGCGAUCGCAGAGGAUUUAUCAGGUAAAUCUUGAAGAAUCUCCGCGUAUCCGAUCUAUUUCAUGGUGCUUGUCUACUUUUAGCCUGUAGCCAUGGUUCUUGAUAUGUGUGGCUUUGUCAAAGUUUAUUGCUCCUUGGGAGCCAUUUUUGUGGUCUGGGCAUCAUGUUUCUCUUCUGGAGCAUCCUAGGUUAUUGCCCUUUCAGCUUCUUUAUGUUUCUCAGUUCCCUUUCGAUUUGGAGGACAAGAGAGUGUCUGGUAAAAUUCUAGAAUGAAUAUCGCAGCGUGUGGAACUUGUGUUUUUAUAGCUAUAGGGAACAUUAAUGGCCAUGAGGUGAGUAUUGCUCCUGAAGCCAAACGCUGUAUCUUCACCUGCGAGAAGCAAUAUGUCUAGUUCAUCACUGCUUCGUUAAUACUCUUCAGGGCCUCAUCUCGAGACGUUAGGCCUUCUGAAUGUGAUGUUUAUUAAUGAAGAAUAACUGAAAAGAAAAACUGAUUUGCAUGAUGGAAUUUCUUAAUUCUCUUUCGUUUGCUUUUCUGUUCUCAUUUACCUUCUGCUUUCUCUCUAGGUCAAAAUGCAACCGCAUUGGGGACCGGAAGCUACUAUGGCC
rnacentral:lncRNA from 1 species